GAUGAACGUUGGUGGCGUGCCUAAUACAUGCAAGUCGAGAGAAGCGGGGACGGGUGAGUAACACGUGGAUAACCUCCUAUAAGACUGGGAUAACUUCGGGAAAACGGAGCUAAACCGGAUAAUUAUAGAUGGAUCCGCGCUGCAUUAGCCAGUUGGUAAGGUAACGGCUUCCCAAGGCAACGAUGCAUAGCCGACCGUAGAGGAUGAUCAGCCAGACUGGAACUUGGACACUGUCCAGGCUCCUACGGAAGGCAGCAGUAGGGAUUCUUCCGCUAUGGGCGAAGUCCUGACGGAGCAACGCCGCGUGGGUGAUGAAGUUCUUCGGUUCGUAAAACUCUGUUAUUAAGAAAGCGUUCCCUAGUCAGAAAGCCACGGCUAACUACGUGCCAGCCGCCGCGGUAAUUC
rnacentral:rRNA from 1 species